rnacentral:tRNA from 1 species
GUUGGAGUGGCAGAUUCAGGUAAUUGCAAAAGGUCUAAGCCCUUUAUAAGAAAGUUCAAAUCUUCCUUCCAACU